CUGGGGAGGGGUGUCCAGCACCCAGCACCCCGGGGGCAGGACGGGGACUGGCCAGUGUAAAAAAUACCCUUGGGUGAGGAUUAACAACAAAAGCUCAUCCUAACAGCAGCAGCUGUGGGCAUGGCUGAGCUCAGCUCCAGGUCCUUCACAAGCUCAUCCCCUCAGACCCGAGAGGCGGCGCCUCAGCCGGAGCCCGGCUCCGAGAGAGCUCAUCAAUAGCCUCCACCCCAAAUCCCAGUGCUGUCCAGGGGGCAAGUGAACCAGCCUCCGCCUGUGCCCAGGGUGCCGGGCCCUCGCACCCAGCCCACAGGAGCCAUCACAUCUUCACCCCUCCUGGCAGGAACCAGGCUGGCCACCAUUCGCAUGAAGGAGCUGAGAUGAGCCAGGAUCUACACGAAGAGGCCUGGCAUGGGGAGAUCGGGUCAUGGGGCAUCUUUGCUUGUUGUUUCUAAUAAAUUUCUUUACGGAAGUUCCGAUGUAAAGCAGAACGGGAAGUAGCCAGAGGCCUGGGAGCUCCCCUGGCCUGUAGUCCUGCCCCAAGUAAGUGAAUGUCCAAUGUGGAGGGAGCCGGGUGGCAUGCGGUCCCGCUUAGCGGAGGCAGCAGGAGUGGAGCCCAGAGCUGGAGAGGGGGACGCU